UCUCGAGCUAGCAGUCGCGUCGACAUAAUUCCUCCGUUCUGUUGUGCCGUGUGGGCAUCCCGCAAGCCAAGGCCCUGCGGCUGUGCCCCUAGCCCUGUAGCUGUUGCUCCGGGGAGUUCUGUUCCGUUGAAAGAAUUAAUUGACAUCGGGUCACUGGGCUCUAGCUCUGGCUAUACGCUAGGCCAACCAACAAUAAUACCAAGAGUAGAUCUGUUUAUCUACUCUUGAUAAUACUUACUUCACAGGACACCCGUCGGCCGCGCUUCGACGUUUCGCCAAACGUUACGUAGAUCUACUAUUUUUGAAAAUAGUUUCUGAAUAGCGCGCUCUGGCUGAGCGUGGUACAACAUACUCUGCCGACCACUAGCAAGUAGUCUGCCUCCUCGUUUGGUUUAUCAGGCCGGUUUGAGAGUCACGGCCGGUCGUGUUUGGCUAGCUGCCAUUCCUGGAAUAUUGGGAUACUAGUAGAUUGGGUCGACAGUGAGCUGUGGAAACUGCUGGACCGCGUGCAUGCCGUGCAGUGCUCCGCCGACCGUGAUGCGUAGCAGUGGAAACUAAACAUUGUGGGCUCGACUGGAAGCACUGAGCGUUUUGUGCAUAGUUCUCUCGCAGAGCACGUCCUUGCCAUUAAUUUUCUGGAGUGACAGUCGCGGAUGGGCACGAUGCGCGUGGUGCAGUCAGCUCCUAGCUUCUCGGCUAAUCGGUUGAUGCCACCCAAGAGGCAGGCGGCGUGUCAAGAAAUGCUUCACAACAGCCCCCGCAGCAUAUUAUAACUUAUAAGUUCUCUCGCAGAGCAUGUCUGUGACAUUAAUUUUCUGGAGUGACUGUCGUGGACGGGCACGAUGCACGUGGUCCAGUCAGCUCCUAGCUUCUCGGCUAAUCGGUUGAUGCUACCUGAGAGGAAUGCAGCGUGUCAAGAAACACUUCACAACGGCCCCCGCAGCAUAUUUAUAUAUGUUCUCUCGCAGAGCCCGCCCGCACGAUGCACAUGGUCCAGUCAGCAUCUCCUAGCUUCUCAGCUAAUCAAUUGACGCCGCCCGAGAGCAAGGCGGCAUGUCAAGAAAAUGCUUCACAACGGUCCAGCAGCAUAUUAUCAGUUCUCUCGCAGAGCACGUCCGUGCCAUUAAUUUUGUGGAGUGACAGUCGCGGAUGGGUCCGAUGCACGUGGUCCAGUUAUCUCCUAGCUUCUCGGCUAAUCGGUUGAUGCCACCCGACAGGCAGGCGGAGAGUCAAGAAAUGCUUCACAACGGUCCAGCAGCAUAUUAUCAGCAUCAUUCAGGCUUCAAACUGAAGCGAACUCUGAGUGGAAAAUAUGCUACUGCGUUGUGGUCCUAAUCAGUGGAAGUGGCAAGAAGACUCUGCUCAGAAGAAUGCCAAGCGGAGCAAGAGUGCGCAAAAGUGGAUGAAGACAUUAGACAGUACAGUGCUGUAGGUGACAAAGAACAGGCGUGGAAGAAAGGUGUGACGAAGGACGGUGUUCCGAAGGACGACAUGCCGAAGGAAAGCCUGUCGAAGACCGAUGCCAUGCUGAAUAAGCAGUCUGUGCGUUCCUCUGCCAUGCUUCCGGCAUGCUUCUGCUGCUCGUACCCCGUACACACCGGCAGAGAUACGGAAGGACAAGCAAGCAGGGCGUACUUGGUUUGGUCAUCUCGCACCAACCGCCAACCUUUCCGCUGACAAGAGACACAGUCCCUCCAGUCUGUGCGUUCCUGUGCCAUGCUUCCGGCAUGCUUCUGCUGCUCGUACCCCGUACACACCGGCAGAGAUACGGAAGGACAAGCAAGCAGGGCGUACUUGGUUUGGUCAUCUCGCACCAACCGCCAACCUUUCCGCUGACAAGAGACACAGUCCCUCCAGCUAAGGGACUGUAGAUUCUCAAGGUGGCAGAGAUUAGUCGUGUCUAACAAGUGGACACUGACGAUCCGGUGACGUGGCAGCUCGGUGUUAUCGAGGUUUGUCAAGUCAUGCGGAGAGGGCUACAAUGGCUGUUGCUGUUCAAUGAUUGAUGACAGACCAAAGAUAGAGAGAGAGAGAGAGCGGUGAUGCGGGUGACGAUUAGAGAACUCCAGCCACGCUCAGUGUAUGCAGCAUCACGCAUUGCCACACUGCGAUCAUGCCACGCCGUCUGCAGUGAGUGAAGACCAACCCUGUGAUACUGUGUCUACAGUGUAGACUAACCAUGCGAUGCUGCGUCUACAGUACAAGCCUAAGUUAGUGUGCUGUGCCUACAGCCUAGUCCAGUCCUGCAAUACUGCACCUACAGGACAGGUCAAUCCUGCAGUGCUGUGCCCACCGUGCGGACCAGUCAUGCAAUGCUGGGUCUACAGUUCAAUGUGGACCAGUCAUGCAAUGCUGCGUCUACAGUGCAAUGUGGACCAGUCAAGCAAUGCUGCAUCUACACUACAGUGCAAUGUGGACCAGUCAUGCAGUGCUGUGCCUACGGUGUGGACCAGUCAUGCAAUGCUGGGUCUACAGUGCAAUGUGGACCAGUCAUGCAAUGCUGGGUCUACAGUGCAAUGUGGACCAGUCAUGCAAUGCUGAAUCUACACUACAGUGCAAUGUGGACUAGUCAUGCAGUGCUGUGCCUGCAGACUGCAAUGCAGAAGUAGACAGGCAGAGGCUGGACAUGCAGCGCAGCCUUCAUCUGCAACCGUGAGGCCAAUGUACAGUGAGUUGUGUUGGGUCAGCGAAUUUCCAAGCUUCGCGCUGUAUGAUUACAUUGCUCAGUGGUCCGCAGUCGGGGGCCGUCCUUCGACUUGCGUGGUCCACGGUCACUGCCAAUGUCGUUUUACGAUUCCGCUUACACCUGCUUUCCAUCCUGCUUGUUCUCGCUUGGCUUGUUCUGUUGUUUAAGGCUAGCAUACAAACUCGAUCGCUGUUACCCAUGCAGAUUCUUUCCAUUCUCUUCUUCGUGCAUGCUACAAGUACGUGUAACUUGGU